UAGUUCCCUCGGAUGCAGAACCUUUGAGGGGUGCACAGUUUGUUGCUGUUGUUUACCCCCAAGGCAUUCAUCGAUCGAUGCGUACGACAGCUGCGCCCCGUUUUGGUCCCCUCUCCAAAUUGUUUGGAUGGGUCUCAUGCGGUGCCGGCAUCGGGAAGGAAUGCUACCUGGUUGAUCCUGCCAGUAGUCAUAUGCUUGUCUC
rnacentral:misc_RNA from 1 species